GUCCUAACCUCAGCUUGACCUCGCCAUGGCAGCCAAUGAGGCGCCCUCACCCUCUAAAGAAAGCCCCCCACCUCGCACACACACACACACACAAAACACACAGACAUCCAUACACACUUACCUACACACACACACACAAACACACACAGAGAAGAGAUCAGAUGACGCUGAGUGGAGUCUGGAUGCCCUUUGUGCUCGAGAACGUCUCUUCCCAGAAUCCUUUGUUUCCUACUUGACUAAUGACCAUGUUGCGUUUACACACCCUCCACCUCCUCAUCAACGCCCAUUCGUCACAGAUUCAUCAGCUUCGUCAGCUUCAUGAACAACAUCCUACACUGGAAGUGUCUGGAAAGAGGUGGAGGAGAUGAGGACGCUGAAGACAUCAUUAUCCAUAUCGGAUAAGCCUGACCACCAUCUCCACCUGCUACCGCAGAGACAGCAGAGCACCUUUUCCAGCAGACUCCCAACCCAGCUCUCACAAGGACAGAUGGAGGACAACCGUCCCUUCCCCUGGAAAGACCUUACAAUUAAUGACCUCCAGGCCAAAUCACCCUCAUGACUAUAAUACCGUUACACUAUUGUUUGCUUGUGGUCUGGCCACAUCUUUUCACUUUUAGUUAGUCAAUUUAACUCAAUACUAUUGUAUUUUUAUGACUUGUUCAUGACUUUUUUUUAACAUAAUUUAUAGUGAGUGGUGACGUUGACGAUCCUCUACAGCUCAUUACUUUUCUAAUAUAUCUCACUUUGGCUUUUUAAAAAAAACUUUCAUGUCCCUUUUUUUGAAACAAUGCACUUUAAUUUUCCACUGUGAAAUCCCUCUGAAUGAUUGAGGAUGUCGCACUUUAACAAUUACGUUCUUUGACGUACUGUCACAUCACUUUUUCUUAAUAGUAUUCUAUAACUUUUUACAAUUUUAAACAAAUGACUGAUGAUUUUCUUUGAAAAUAUUAAUCCGUGAGUUUUUCAAACAAUAACAUUUCUGAUAUGAUUUUCCACAUACUACAGUAAGCUGCUCGCCGCUCGCUCGCCAACUUGAUCGCAACAGCCCGGCUCGCUAGCUCGUUAGCGUCUUAGCUCGUUAGCGUGUUGGCUUGUUGUGGGUGCUAGUGUUGUACAAUUAUAAGUGUUACAAAUUGUUUAUAUGUCACCAGCUGUUGUGUUGUGGUGUUUUACCCAGUUAAAGAGUCUUUGUUGUGGGUUAUUUAUUGUUGUUAUAAAGUAAAAAUGACUAAAAAUAAAUUCUGCCGCCUGCCGAAAAGUAACGUCAGUUGUUACGGCGUAACGUACGUGAGAAAUUCAUACCGUACGGAAAUAUUACACCGGCAUACCGUUUGAAUACCGCCCAGCCCUCGUUCAGACGUAAGUUAUAAAAUGAAGUUUCAUUCCUCUGCCACCAACACCGAAUGCUCACCUGCAGACAGCUGGACAGUCGCCUUCGUCAACGCACUCCUCCUCCUCCUCCUCCCCCCCCUUGCUCGUUAUCAUUUGAGCUCCACAGAGACUCUUCUAAUGACAGCGCUUGUCUAUAACGUCGUCGUCACGGCUCGUGUGUACGUGCUUGUGUGUGUUACUCCGUGUGUGUGUGUGUGUGUGUGUGUGUG
ensembl:lncRNA